UAGGGAAUCUUCCACAAUGGGCGAAAGCCUGAUGGAGCAACGCCGCGUGUGUGAUGAAGGGUUUCGGCUCGUAAAACACUGUUGUAAGAGAAGAAUGACAUUGAGAGUGACUGUUCAAUGUGUGACGGUAUCUUACCAGAAAGGAACGGCUAAAUACGUGCCAC
rnacentral:rRNA from 1 species